rnacentral:lncRNA from 1 species
CUUCACGUUACUGUCAUUUUAUUCCACGUGACUUGCUUAACCGGAACAAAACUAGUCGGCAUUCCCUGGAUGGAGCAGAUGCUGGAAAAUUCCACGUCGAGGCCUAAUGCACUAUUCAGAGGGCACAUCAGCCGAUCAGCAGGCCAGCUGGGCCGGCUGGUAGUUCCUGGAGGAAGACAUUGGAAUGGAUGGGUCCACCAAGGGAUCCUGCCCCGAGGAAGCAUAGAGCAUGGAACAUUCCAGCGAGGACAGGUGGAAGAUGGUGUGUGGCCAUUGACUGGAAGCAGGUGUGAUCUGUCUCCAUGAGAGGCCAACCUUUAAAGCCUCCCAAUGCAUCAAGGACAGCAGGGAAAAAAGGAAGCUGAAGGGAAACAAAGAGUCAUCCAAAUUUUAAAAUCAUCUGUAAUACUAGCAAAUGACACAACACGGGCACAAGGCUACGUCUGUUUCUUCAGAUUCCUC